AACCACACACACGGGGGCUCUCGCGUACCGAGGGCUGAGAGGGCGACAGGCGGUCGCCGACCGUACGAACCUGUCCGGAUAAUGCCGGCGUAGGGAGACUCUUAUGAGCACUG
rnacentral:ncRNA from 2 species